AGUGAACGCUGGCGGUAGGCCUAACACAUGCAAGUCGAACGGCAGCACAGUAAGAGCUUGCUCUUACGGGUGGCGAGUGGCGGACGGGUGAGGAAUACAUCGGACUCUACUUUUUCGUGGGGGAUAACGUAGGGAAACUUACGCUAAUACCGCAUACGACCUACGGGUGAAAGCAGGGGAUCUUCGGACCUUGCGCGAUUGAAUGAGCCGAUGUCGGAUUAGCUAGUUGGCGGGGUAAUGGCCCACCAAGGCGACGAUCCGUAGCUGGUCUGAGAGGAUGAUAGGCCACACUGGAACUGAGACACGGUCCAGACUCCUACGGGAGGCAGCAGUGGGGAAUAGUGGACAAUGGGCGCAAGCCUGAUACAGCCAUACCGCGUGGGUGAAGAAGGCCUUCGGGUUGUAAAGCCCUUUUGUUGGGAAAGAAAAGCAGCAGGUUAAUACCCCGCUGUUCUGACGGUACCCAAAGAAUAAGCACCGGCUAACUUCGUG
rnacentral:rRNA from 1 species